CAGCAAUCCAUUUCCUGGGGGACUAAUGACACACCAUGGCACAGGCAGGAAUUGCACUUUCCCGCGGUGGAGGAAGGAGAAUGCUGAGUCCUCUGGGCAGACCCCGGGCUCCGCAUCGCCCAGAAGCGAGGAUGAUGAGGGCUGUAAAGGCUUUGAGUGAUGCCGACCGCUGCUGCCCUGUCCGUGUUUGCACCGCCGAUGGCUGUUCCUCCUUCAUCCUCCGCAGACACGAGACCGUCUGACAUCUUGGCCACCUCUGUGCUAGCCAGCUGGCUCAGCGGAGGGCGCGCGGCAGGACUGCUGGUGCUGAGGAACGUGGGAGGCCUGGUGAGCGCGGCGCUGACCUUCGCUUCUGCGGUCGCUGCGCUGCAGGCUCCGGCUCUGCACCAGCGCCGGGCAGCAGCCGCCCCGGCUCUCCCGGGCCUCUCUGUGUCCGCGUCACGCAAAGGAGAGGCAAGGUGAUCCGCUGUGACCCGAGGACACGCUUAAAAAUCCUCCCAUGCUUUCCACCCUACCCCCUUCCUCUGCAAUAUGGCAUCCAAAAUAGAUACCAAGAAAUGACCUGCCAGGAAAAAAAUGGAAGCCUAUAAUUAUGUUAUUGAAAAACUGUUCCAUACUG